GACGAACGCUGGCGGCGUGCUUAACACAUGCAAGUCGAACGGAAAGGCCCUGCUUGCCGGGUACUCGAGUGGCGAACGGGUGAGUAACACGUGGGUGAUCUGCCCUGCACUUCGGGAUAAGCCUGGGAAACUGGGUCUAAUACCGGAUAGGAGCCAUUUUUAGUGUGAUGGUUGGAAAGUUUUUUCGGUGUAGGAUGAGCUCGCGGCCUAUCAGCUUGUUGGUGGGGUAAUGGCCUACCAAGGCGGCGACGGGUAGCCGGCCUGAGAGGGUGGACGGCCACAUUGGGACUGAGAGACGGCCCAGACUCCGACGGGAGGCAGCAGUGGGGAAUAUUGCACAAUGGGCGCAAGCCUGAUGCAGCGACGCCGCGUGGGGGAUGACGGCCUUCGGGUUGUAAACUCCUUUCGCUAGGGACGAAGCUUUUUGUGACGGUACCUAGAGAAGAAGCACCGGCUAACUACGUG
rnacentral:rRNA from 1 species